CNNCGGAGGGAUCAUUACCGAGUUAUUCUACUCCCAAACCCCUGUGAACUUAUACCUUUACUGUUGCUUCGGCGGGUUAACGCCCCGGAAGGCCCGCGAGGGCCGCCGGAACCAGGCGCCCGCCGGGGGACCCAAACUCUUGUAUCUUUUUUAUAGCAUGUCUGAGUGGAAUCAUAAACAAAUGAAUCAAAACUUUCAACAACGGAUCUCUUGGUUCUGGCAUCGAUGAAGAACGCAGCGAAAUGCGAUAAGUAAUGUGAAUUGCAGAAUUCAGUGAAUCAUCGAAUCUUUGAACGCACAUUGCGCCCGCCAGUAUUCUGGCGGGCAUGCCUGUUCGAGCGUCAUUUCAACCCUCAAGCCCCAGUGGCCUGGUGUUGGGGACCGGCGACCUCGCCCCGGGGGAACACCCCCGGCGCGUCCGCCGCCCCCGAAAUGAAUUGGCGGCCCCGUCGCGGCCUCCUCUGCGUAGUAGCUCAACCUCNCAUCGGGAGCGCGAUGCGGCCACUGCCGUAAACGCC
rnacentral:rRNA from 1 species